rnacentral:rRNA from 1 species
GAUGAACGCUGGCGGCGUGCCUAAUACAUGCAAGUCGAGCGAACAGACGAGGAGCUUGCUCCUCUGACGUUAGCGGCGGACGGGUGAGUAACACGUGGAUAACCUACCUAUAAGACUGGGAUAACUUCGGGAAACCGGAGCUAAUACCGGAUAAUAUAUUGAACCGCAUGGUUCAAUAGUGAAAGACGGUUUUGCUGUCACUUAUAGAUGGAUCCGCGCCGCAUUAGCUAGUUGGUAAGGUAACGGCUUACCAAGGCAACGAUGCGUAGCCGACCUGAGAGGGUGAUCGGCAACACUGGAACUGAGACACGGUCCAGACUCCUACGGGAGGCAGCAGUAGGGAAUCUUCCGAAAAGGGCGAAAGCCUGACGGAGCAACGCCGCGUGAGUGAUGAAGGUCUUCGGAUCGUAAAACUCUGUUAUUAGGGAAGAACAAAUGUGUAAGUAACUAUGCACGUCUUGACGGUACCUAAUCAGAAAGCCACGGCUAACUACGUG